GAGGAAGACGAAUACAGUAGAAGAAUAUUAAUUUGAUUGUUUUUAAACUCACAUGUUGAAAAAAGUAGAAUACCAAUGAAUAUCAAAGCUGAUUU
rfam:Arabis alpina cultivar Pajares Aa.chr5_contig_1900, whole genome shotgun sequence.